UGCUAAGUUACAUAAUGUACAUUAAAAUAUAUGAAUUACAUAAAUAAUAUUCUAAAGUAUUCUAUCUAUUCUUGAAAAAAAUGUAUUUUACUCCUUUUUAUAAAGUAUGUAAAAGGUUUAGUCAAUUUUUGAACGUUUUCGCUUUAAGUGCUUAUUAUAUGCAAUACAAUACAAGUCAGUCAUUAUUUGUCCCUUCUUCCAUGAUAUGUGUUUUCAACUACCGUUGCUGUGUCAUCCAGCCAUUGGCGUGUCGAGUGCACUCCGCCCAUCUCGGAAUAUAUUGUAUUAUAUAAUAGUGAGAUAUAACAGGUGUGGCUGUAUAUACAUAAUAAUCAUAUUCAAUACCAUAAAUAUCGCCCAACUAAUGAAAUUAGGAGAUUCAAUUGCAUAUUUUAUCAAUUGUAAUAAAUUGCAAACAACAAUGUAUUAUACAUGCCAUAAUUAUCAUCAUAACAAAACAGACCUGUAUAUAAGAUCAAUUCAGAAACACUCCUUUCAGAAGUAUACCUUGGAGUAUACGUGUAUAUCUUACGAAUGCCUGGACUAAAAUGAAUGUGAAGACGUUUGGAAAAAUCAAUUGCGCUUGCGCGAACUUCGGUAGAUAUUAUGACAUGACUAUUUUUCUGUGAGAAAUAAAUAUUCGUUGUACUUUCGUUACGACGCUAAAUCGAUCAAUUAAUCGCGCACUUUUCUCUCCCGAGCAAACUGCGAGGAAAUUAUUUCUAUAGCACCGUAAAUUACAUCUUGAUAUUUUAUGUUACUUUCGUCGGUAUAUUUCUGUUAAAUUAAGGAAAUUUACCUUGGAAAAUACAUUAGAAGAAAAAUAUUAUGUACUUUUCUUUAUUCGAAGAAAGAAAUAGAUAAAAUCGCUUUAUCUCAAUAUAUUGAGAUAUAUCGCUCCCAAAUGCGUGUGGAAGCUCAAACAAGAGUGACCUGUAUUAAUAUUCAAUUUUUUUACAUUCAUCGAAUUUCUAUGGUCGCACUUGGGUUAUGGCCUUACCAUCGAACAAUGCUUGUGCAACUUCAGUCUUGUGUGUUUUCUCUUACUACGACUAGUUUUAUUAUAUUUCAGCUUACAACAUUUCUAACUACAGAAUGGACUAUUGACUUUAUCGUUGAAAUUCUUUCUAAAUCACUUUUUCUUCUUGUGUGCGUACUUCUAUAUAACUAUUUGUGGAUUAACACGCAUGUUGUGAAGUACAUAUUGGAAAAGCUUCAGUACGUCUGUAGAGAGUUAAAGAAUGAAAACGAAAUUGCAAUAAUAAAAAGAUAUGGACACAUUGCAAAAUAUGUUGCCAUUGGAUUAACAUCGUUGGCGAUAUGGAGUUUAUUCAUCUUUACUCUUUUGCCAAUUCUGCCGCGGAUUUUUGGCAUCUUUUUCCCCGUAAAUAAAUCUGAGACAUAUCGUAAUAUAUAUAUUACAACUGAAUAUUUUGUCGAUGAAGAAAAAUAUUUUUAUUUUAUUAUGCUGCAUCUGUACGUAGCCCAUUACAUAGCAGGAGGUACAUUAAUAGGAGCAGGAGUUCUCCUGACCGGAUACUUUACAUAUUUUUGUGGAUUAUUUAACAUUGCCAGUUAUCGUAUCGAACAAGCAAUGCGGAUAAAUAGUGACGAACUAACUAAUCGGAAGAACAAGAGGAAGAUCGACAAGAAGAUAAGUCAUGCAGUGGACAUUCAUCGCACAGCUCUUGAGUUUACUGAAUUCUUUCUAUAUAACUUCGAGGGAAUAUGCUUUCUUAUAAUAGCGAUUAUUGUAAUUUGUUUGAGCCUUAAUCUGUUUGGAAUCUUUCAAGCCGUUCGUUAUGUGUAUAAUAUGCAAGAGUUUCUAGUACACUGUGGUUUUACGGUUGGCAUUUUAACAUGUUCAUUAGGAGUCAACUGCGUGGGUCAAGCAAUUACAGAUCACUAUAAUUACAUGUUUUCAUCCGCGUAUAACGUUCCAUGGUACGUUGCGUCUGUACGCGUGCAAAGAUUAAUAUUGUUUCUUUUGCGAAGAGGCACUAAGCCUUAUGGCUUGAAAUUCGGUGGUCUUUAUACAAUAUCUUUAGAAAGCUUUGCCUCGCAUUCACAUUAGAAAUCACAUCGAUAUGAUUGAAUAAAAAAGUUAUACUAGGAUAUGUUAAGAAAAUUGCCUUAUAAUAAAACGGUAAUUCACAAAAUAUAAUAAAUAAAUAUUUUAUAUUUAAAAACAUAGACUCUUUCCAGAAACACAAGAUUUCUAAUUACAUAUGUUGGGUUGUAUAAGAAUAUACAAUCUGUUUGAUAAGAAAGUGUCCGGCAAUUUAUCUAACAAUAAGAAGAACGUAGCCAAUUUGAUUUAUAGAAAAAUGUAUUACAUAAAACUGUGAACGUGUAUAUCUAUUCUACCCUAUUAGAACUAAAAUAUUUUCAUAUUAAUAAUGUGUGCAGUCGCCACCGUUGUCAAUACUUGCCUGACAUCUUCGAGGCUAUCACUUUCCAUUAAAUUGUAGUGUAUUCUUGUGACAAAGAUCUCCAUAUCAAAUGAAUAUGUAAUACUAAGUAAUUACUAUGCAUUAUAUACUUUUUUCCACGAACCUUGUACUUUAUGUAUGCCAAAAACAUUUUCGAUUCAAUUAGUAUUAGGCGAAUAUGAUGCCUACGGAAUUGCGAAUCAUAAUACGUAUGCGGUAUUCAUGGCGAAAAUUUUUCUUUCAGUUAUGAAGCUCGAACGAUAAUUGAAGCUUUCUCUACAAAGCAUCGUAGGGAAAGGGUUCCGUUGGAAUAUUUAGUAGGUGCCAUUGGAAUUUCCCGUCUACUAGUUUCACCAGAUAUUCUUUUACCAUACAGAUUAUGUAUACCUCCUGCUUUUUUAGUGUUUUUAAUAACGUGAAUAUAUGUUACAACCUAUAUUAUCAUUAAUUAUUAAAAACAUUAAACAUUAAAAAACCGGGACGACUAUAUGUCGCAAUUUAAUAAAUACGUGUUUUCAAAAAUAUUUGAGGAUGCAAUUCAAUAUUCGUUUCAAACGUAAUAAAUUAUAGAUAUAAUGGCACAUGAUAUGUUAUAUAAUUACUAUCAUAUCAAAACUGACAUGUACGUACGAUCAACCAGGUAACGCUCCUUUUAAGAGACAUGUGUACGUUACGAGUGCGCGGACUAGAAUGAAGAACGCGAAGACGUAUUGCUUGAAAAAAUCAAUUGCGCUUGCGCGAACUUCGGUCAAGAUAUCAUGACGUAACUAUUUUCUAUGAAAAAUGUCUUUAUACUUCUAAUAUAGAUUACGGCGUCAAAUCGAUCAGUUAAUCGUUCACUUUUCUCUCCCGCGUAAAUUGCGAGAAAAUUAUUUUUAUAGCACCUUAUAUUACAUGUUGAUAUUCUUUGUUACUUUCGUCGGUAUAUUUUUGUUAAAUUAAGGAUUUUUGCCUUGGAAUAUACGAGAGAAGAAAAAUAGUAUGUAAUAUUCUUUAUUCUAAAAAAGAGAUAGGCAAAUUCAUUUUGAUAUAUCGCCCUCAAAUGUGUGUAGAAACUCGAACAAGAGUGACUUGUAUUGAUACUCAAUUUCUUUACAUUCAUCGAAUUUCUCUGGUCGCAAUUGGGUUAUGGCCUUACCAGCGAACAAUGCUUGUACAACUUCAGUCUUGUGUAUUUUCUCUUAUUAUGCUUAGUUUUGUUAUGUUUCAGCUUACAACAUUUCUAACUACAGAAUGGACUAUUGACUUUAUCGUUGAAAUUUUAUCUACAUCACUUUUUAUUCUUUUGUGCGCAAUUCAAUAUAAUUCUCUUUGGAUUAACACGCAUGUUGUAAGUUGAGUUUUUACAGUAUGGUUUUAUUGUAUAACAUACCUAUUAUACAAUAAAUCAGGUUUUCUACACCAUAAUUUUUUGUAAAAGUUAUCAGAGAAAUAGAAAAUUAUCUGAUAUAUUGUUGAUACGAUAGGUGAAGCAUAUAUUGGAAAAUCUUCAGUACGUAUGUAACGACUUAAAGGAUGCAAACGAAAUUGCUAUAAUAAAAAGAUAUGGACACUUUGCAAAAUGUGUGGCAAUUGGAUUGACAUGUAAGAAUAUAUCAAUUAUUAUUUAUUAUACUUUAGCGCACGCAGUUCAAUAUAAAAUAAUUAUACUAAAAGUGUGCAAACAUGUAAAUAAAUAAAAAUGAAGAGUAGAUAGUGUUAGCAACCUACCAAAUUAUUACAGAAAAAUAAAAAUGUGAAAAAAUAAUGAGAUAAUAAAAUGAUAAAAAAUAAUGAGAUAAUAAAAUGAUAAAAAAUAAUGAGAUAAUAAAAUGAUAAAAAAUUUGAAACAUAUGCUAUAUUUCAAAAUGUCAAUGAGGAUGGAGUUAUGAUCGCUGCUUAUGUUUUUAAUCUAUCUUUAGUGUUGGCGAUGUGGGCUUUAUUCAUCUUCACUCUUUUGCCAAUUCUGCCGCGGAUUUUCGGCAUCUUUUUCCUUGUAAAUAAAUCCGA